AAUCCAUAGGUUAAUGAGGCGAACCGGGGGAACUGAAACAUCUAAGUACCCCGAGGAAAAGAAAUCAACCGAGAUUCCCCCAGUAGCGGCGAGCGAACGGGGAGGAGCCCAGAGCCUGAAUCAGCAUGUGUGUUAGUGGAAGCGUCUGGAAAGGCGCGCGAUACAGGGUGACAGCCCCGUACACAAAAGCGCAUGUGCUGUGAGCUCGAUGAGUAGGGCGGGACACGUGGUAUCCUGUCUGAAUAUGGGGGGACCAUCCUCCAAGGCUAAAUACUCCUGACUGACCGAUAGUGAACCAGUACCGUGAGGGAAAGGCGAAAAGAACCCCGGCGAGGGGAGUGAAAAAGAACCUGAAACCGUGUACGUACAAGCAGUGGGAGCACAGGUUUACCUGUGUGACUGCGUACCUUUUGUAUAAUGGGUCAGCGACUUAUAUUCUGUAGCAAGGUUAACCGUAUAGGGGAGCCGCAGGGAAACCGAGUCUUAAC
rnacentral:rRNA from 2 species